rnacentral:tRNA from 1 species
GCCUUUAUAGCUCAAAGGUAGAGCGAAAUACUGUUAAUAUUUUGGUUGAAUGUUCGAGUCAUUCUAGAGGCU